AAUCAACGCUGGCGGCAGGCCUAACACAUGCAAGUCGAACGCAUCGCAAGAUGAGUGGCGCACGGGUGAGUAACACGUGGGAAUGUAUCCUUUGGUUCGGAAUAACGUCUGGAAACGGACGCUAAUACCGGAUGAGCCCUUAGGGGGAAAGAUUUAUCGCCGAAGGAGCAGCCCGCGUCUGAUUAGGUAGUUGGUGGGGUAAAGGCCUACCAAGCCGACGAUCAGUAGCUGGUCUGAGAGGAUGAUCAGCCACACUGGGACUGAGACACGGCCCAGACUCCUACGGGAGGCAGCAGUGGGGAAUAUUGGACAAUGGGCGCAAGCCUGAUCCAGCCAUGCCGCGUGAGUGAUGAAGGCCUUCGGGUUGUAAAGCUCUUUCGCACACGACGAUGAUGACGGUAGUGUGAGAAGAAGCCCCGGCUAACUUCGUGCCAGCCGCCGCGGUAAAAC
rnacentral:rRNA from 1 species